UGACACGCGGCGGAAUUGGGGGAUAAACACCAACUCUUGUGUUCUUCUCCUCUGUCGGGCAAAGCAACCUUAAUUUUCAGCCUCCUCUCCAGACUGCUCCGUGGGGGCUCCCUCCAGCCAGGACCAAAUGGGCAACGACCUUCAGCCGUGUCAGUGAAACCCUGCAGGGCCCCAGCACCUGGCUCCCAGCUAAAUGUCACUGCUAUUAUUGCUACUGUCACCUUUGGCAAGAGGCAAAUGGGAUUUUCAGGAUUAUUCCCCAUAAUUAUUCCAUGUGUGUGGAUUUUCAGCAUCCCCAGGACUCUGCAGCCACCUGGAGCAGUGGGAUGAGGCAAAAAGCCUGGGAAAGAGCUGGAGAAGAAUGUAAAUAAUUCUUUAUCUGUUUUUCACACUGUUUAUAGUUAAGUUCUAUCACUGUGCAUCAAGCACUGUGCACCAAUGCUGCGAGUUGUUUUCACUUCAGGACCAAUGGAUUUGGUCAUCACCAAUGGAAUUGAUCCUCACGAAGCUCUGUAUAAAAGAGCAGUGUACUUUAAAUAAAUCACAAUUUUACUCUCACAA